CAAGUGUGGGAAUUCCAGCUGAUUUCUGAGAUAAAGAAACCAGCAGGAACACAGAGUGCCUGCUACAUACAUAAUCAGACAUCUGAAAGACUCAUAUCUACCUGCAUACACAAUCACAGACAAAUGAGCACUAUCGUGAAAGACCAUCAGAAGGACAGAGAGAAAACAAACGGGGGAUGGGGGAAAGAUAAGAGGAAGGAAAGGGAUUGAAAUAGAGAAGGAAGCACUAAUGUAAUUUAAUCUUGAACAUUGUGCUGCUCAUCAUAUUUCAGAUUGGAUCUUCACCCAGCUGAAGGGUAGAGGUGUGUUUGACUCAAAUUAAAUUUCGGCUGGAAAAUUGUUCUUUGCUCAGGCACUGUUCUCAGUCUGCGCAACAAAGUUAACCAUCUGUUUUGUUUAAAUGCCCCAUAAUGAGAGUUUAAUUUGUCUGUGUUCUUUGCUUUAAAAGGGUCAUCUCAUACAUUGUUUCUUAUUAUUACAUGAAAAUUAAACUGAAAUGAUCACAGAUCUUUUCAAAAUAAACUUUUCCCGGUUCUAAUUUUGGGAUCCUUCAGAAUCAUGUGCAGAGCUGUAGGUGCUACACAUAGCCAAGAAAAGCACAGGGUUUGCCAGACUUUCCAACAUUUUAAUGUUAGUUUUAGUUGUUCUGUUGUCUAGGAAUAACAGUAUUUACUCUACAAUUGUCUCAUUUGAAAGGGACGAAGAAAUCAACCCCUCCCUCUCUCCUUUUCUUCCCUCCCUCCCUUCACUCGUCCUCUCUCUCUCCCUCUCUGUCCUUCUCUCCAUCCCCUCCCCCCGUGACAGAGCACACCUGCCUGAUCUUGGCUGCAGGCGUCCACACAGUGAUCAGCCCUCGGCCUGCCUCGCUGCACAUCGGCUCCAGCCCUCUCUGGAUUUGGGGAUCUUCGUCUGCCGCUCUACGCGCUCCUGUACGUACAGCCCAGAGGUGCCCACACGAAACCUUAAAUACACCAGAGAGGUUAAAGGUCAUGCAUUUUGGUAAUAUGUGAUUUUGUUCGAGUGGUUUGCGAGAAAAAUUUUCCUGGAAACCGGGAAGGACGCGUCACCUCAGGUCAGUGUUAAAGAGAGGUCAAGCCUGGCAGAGGCUUGGAGAGAAUGGACUUCAAAUACAUUUUUUGCCAGUAAACUAUAAGUGUCAUAUCUAUCAAAGAGAGCCAUAUUGUCUAUUAAUGAAAUGUUUAUUACUUCUGGGAACAGUUUAAGUAUGGUUUAAACUAAGAGAGCAUUGUCAAAUGACAAUGAUGCUCAUUUUUAGUCUAGAUGUAAUAAUUUAUUCAAUAAAUACAUAUAUAUUACAUUUUACCUGGUUACAUAUCUUGUUACAUUAAAUUAAAAAUUACAUUUUUCCUUUUUCUUUAUCAAGAGCAUUUAUAUCAUUCACCUUGAUUUAAAGCCUGCAAAGCUUCUUGUUCAUACCAGCACUUUGCAGUUGUUUAAUUCAUGGCUUCACUUCAGAGUCCCAUGUGACUAAUGUGGGCUAAACAGAACCCCUGCUAGAUGGUCUGUGAAAACAACUUCUUUUAACAUGCUAACUGUAGAGCGCUUUGAAGAUUAAAAGCCGUUUACGGUUAGAUUGCACUUUUUAGUUUUGCUUUGGGUUUGAUAAAGCUCUCAUGGUCUGCUAAAACAGGAGGAGCAUGGCUCCUUUGAAGAUAUGUGGGCAUAUGGCUUAUCAAGAAUUCAAAAAUAAGUUUCAAACAAGUAUUGGCAUUCCUGGUAAAAUUACAGCAAAAGAGAGCGAGGGAAAGUGGGAAAAACUGUGAUUCUGUGAAAUCGUCUUUGCUGAAAGAUUCAAAGGAUGGAAUUAUUUAGGAUUCUUGUAGGAGGAUGAAAUGUAAAGCAGCACUUGAUGAGAUUAUGUGGGGGGAAAAUCUUCCACGCCAUGAUUUCCAAAUGCCUCAAGUCUAUCUGUGGCACCAAUCUGAGCAACAUAAUUCAAAGAACUCAAUCAUUCAGCUAUUCAAGACCAGUCAUAAUUAUAACUCAUUAAAAUGUCGUAUUCAGCUCUGAUAUUGAUUGUGUCAGCUAAAGGGCUUUUGUCAGUUUCUAAAAGGCCAAAGUAUUUCCUUUAGAAUCUAAUUUUUUUCCUUUUUUUUUCAGACAAAGGUGUUGAAUUUCAUCUUCUGAAUGAAUGAAUUCGAUCUCUCAUGGAAAUUAAUAAGGGGGCGCACUUGUGAUGAUAAUUCAAUUGGAAACCUGUAUUUUCUCUCACAGAUUCACAGUCCUAUCAAUACAACCCAGAGACACGGCACUAAAUAUGCCAUUGUGACAUCAGGAUUUCCAUAGCAACAGCUCGAACGGUUUUCCUUUUGUUCACAAUAAUUAAAUGGAAGGUUGGAUUAUCCACUUUCCCUCUAAAGUGCAAUUUUCAUUUUUCUUCAAAUCAAUAAAAGGAAAAAUCAAGCCCUUGUGUGAUUGUUGUUUUGAAAUUUUACAUCCAGAUGGAGGUGCAAAGAGGAUAUAAGCGGCUGUGUGCAUAUUUUGGAAUCUUUAUGAG